UACGAAGGGGGCUAGCGUUGCUCGGAAUCACUGGGCGUAAAGGGCGCGUAGGCGGCUCGUGAAGUCGGGUGUGAAAGCCCGGGGCUCAACCCCGGAACGGCAUCCGAUACUGGCGGGCUUGAGACCGGGAGAGGAGGGUGGAAUACCCAGUGUAGAGGUGAAAUUCGUAGAUAUUGGGUGGAACACCGGUGGCGAAAGCGGCUCUCUGGCCCGGAUCUGACGCUGAGGCGCGAAAGCUAGGGGAGCAAACGGG
rnacentral:rRNA from 1 species